GACGAACGCUGGCGGCGUGCUUAACACAUGCAAGUCGAACGGAAAGGCCCUGCUUUUGUGGGGUGCUCGAGUGGCGAACGGGUGAGUAACACGUGAGUAACCUGCCCUUGACUUUGGGAUAACUUCAGUAAACUGGGGCUAAUACCGGAUAGGAGCUCCUGCUGCAUGGUGGGGGUUGGAAAGUUUCGGCGGUUGGGGAUGGACUCGCGGCUUAUCAGCUUGUUGGUGGGGUAGUGGCUUACCAAGGCAUUGACGGGUAGCCGGCCUGAGAGGGUGACCGGGCACAUUGGGACUGAGAUACGGCCCAGACUCAUACGGGAGGCAGCAGUGGGGAAUAUUGCACAAUGGGCGGAAGCCUGAUGCAGCAACGCCGCGUGCGGGAUGACGGCCUUCGGGUUGUAAACCGCUUUCGCCUGUGACGAAGCGUGAGUGACGGUAAUGGGUAAAGAAGCACCGGCUAACUACGUG
rnacentral:rRNA from 1 species